GACCUUAGUCCAGGCGCCUGCCCGAAUCGUGCUCGGGUGGAUAAGUCUGAUCUGAGCACCACAGGGGCCGGGCGCCUGGACCAAGGGGG
ensembl:miRNA